rnacentral:rRNA from 1 species
AGGACGAACGCUGGCGGCGUGCUUAACACAUGCAAGUCGAGCGGUAAGGCCUUUCGGGGUACACGAGCGGCGAACGGGUGAGUAACACGUGGGUGAUCUGCCCUGCACUUCGGGAUAAGCCUGGGAAACUGGGUCUAAUACCGGAUAUGACCUCCUAUCGCAUGGUGGGUGGUGGAAAGAUUUAUCGGGUGCAGGAUGGGCCCGCGGCCUAUCAGCUUGUUGGUGGGGUAAUGGCCUACCAAGGCGACGACGGGUA